GUGGUUGUGUGAAGUGGUGGCAGUGCUGCUGAGGACUCGAGUAGGGUCGGGUGUGCUUAGCAUAGCAGGGUAUUUUUUUUAGUAUUAUGGAGUGCUUGAUUAGCUGUGAGAUUGUUUGUGUAAUGCGUUUUCUUCCCUAGCGAUUUGUUUUCUUGUUUUGGUUUUUGUUGUAGGUUCUAGUGAAGUCCUUGCUUUGUGGCCUUUUGUCUGGUCCUGUGUUCUUUAUCCUCUGUCAUCCAUCUCAACCAAAAGGGGGAGGGCAAAAGAAAAAAAAACACAAAAGAAUCUGUGCAGGCACACUGGGUACCGGUAGGAUAGCAAGACUAGAGCACCGUCCACAUGCCCCUAGGGAGGCUGUUUCAUUCUUUGACCCCCCCUCCCCUUUUCCGGUCCAGCUCGGGUGAGCUUGCAUUCCUUUUCGUCGCCCCUUUCAACAGGCCAGCUGCCCACGUCAAGAAAUUCAGAACCGAACUGGGCCACCGUGGAGGAUCAAACUCACAUAUUUGUUGACGAGGACGUGUUGGCGUGAUAAUAAUAAAAAAAAACAGAGCGGGGAGGAGGGGGUAUUUGUUCAAAUUCUCGAUAAACGUCUCGGUUUUUAGAUUCUCGAAAAAAAAGAAGAAACGUUUAAAUAAAAUAGAAAAAGAAGGAAUCACUAGACACGUUUAUUUCAGCGGCCCACUGGCUUGUCGUUCCGGAGGGUGAGAGAGACAUUUGGGCGGGGAGGGGUUCUGGAGAUUUCUCUACUGUGCAAUACUACCAGGUAGGUAGAAGUAGAUGAGGGGAGAUUUCUCUACUGUGCAAUACUGUCCAGGAAACUUGAGAUUUUGCACACAGGAAUGGUCUCCUCGAUCAACAAGAAUGGGAGUUAAAAGUGGGUGCUUGACGGAUGGUAUCCAGAUCCAUAAAUGGGGGAAAAAAAGUAUGCGGUGAAAAUGACCGCGAGUCGCGCGCGCCUCUUCUGUCUUCUUCCCCCUCCACACAUGGAAGCCAGCCCGGGAGCUGUGGUGACGGUGACGGGGACACGAGCUAGCGCCGCCGCCGCGGUGGUGGGCAGCCCUGGGAUGGGGAGGAAAAAAAUCAUUAGCAGGGACGCGGAGAAAGAACGUGGAGCUUUAUCAGGAUUGACGGGGGGGAGGGGAGGGUGUGUACUUCCGAUAUGAUUGAUUGAUUGGCAGUUGGAGGUGCACAAGUCAAAUAUUCCUCCCUUGAUUUCGUGGACGCGGCAGCCAUGGCAAUGGCAUGGCAAGCGAGAGAGACCUGACGAGCUGGACGCAUGGGACGGUGUCUACUGGUGCUGCUGCGAGUGCGAGGACCGACCGACGAGAUUGGGUUCUGUUUAGCACAGGAG
rnacentral:lncRNA from 1 species